GUGGGGAAUAUUGGACAAUGGGGGCAACCCUGAUCCAGCCAUGCCGCGUGAGUGAUGAAGGCCUUCGGGUUGUAAAGCUCUUUUGGCGGGGACGAUGAUGACGGUACCCGCAGAAUAAGCCCCGGCUAACUUCGUGCCAGCAGCCGCGGUAAGACGAAGGGGGCUAGCGUUGUUCGGAAUUACUGGGCGUAAAGCGCGUGUAGGCGGUUGUUCAAGUCGGGUGUGAAAGCCUUGAGCUCAACUCAAGAAAUGCACUCGGUACUGGAUGACUAGAGGACCGGAGAGGAUAGUGGAAUUCCCAGUGUAGUGGUGAAAUACGUAGAGAUUGGGAAGAACACCAGUGGCGAAGGCGGCUAUCUGGACGGUUUCUGACGCUAAGACGCGAAAGCGUGGGGAGCAAACAGGAUUAGAAACCCUUGUAGUCC
rnacentral:rRNA from 1 species